GACGAACGCUGGCGGCGUGCUUAACACAUGCAAGUCGAACGAAGAGCGAUGGAAGCUUGCUUCUAUCAAUCUUAGUGGCGAACGGGUGAGUAACGCGUAAUCAACCUGCCCUUCAGAGGGGGACAACAGUUGGAAACGACUGCUAAUACCGCAUACGAUCUAAUCUCGGCAUCGAGGAUAGAUGAAAGGUGGCCUCUACAUGUAAGCUAUCACUGAAGGAGGGGAUUGCGUCUGAUAGCUAGUUGGAGGGGUAACGGCCCACCAAGGCGAUGAUCAGUAGCCGGUCUGAGAGGAUGAACGGCCACAUUGGGACUGAGACACGGCCCAGACUCCUACGGGAGGCAGCAGUGGGGAAUCUUCCGCAAUGGACGAAAGUCUGACGGAGCAACGCCGCGUGAGUGAUGACGGCCUUCGGGUUGUAAAGCUCUGUUAAUCGGGACGAAAGGCCUUCUUGCGAAUAGUGAGAAGGAUUGACGGUACCGGAAUAGAAAGCCACGGUUAACUACGUG
rnacentral:rRNA from 1 species